rnacentral:rRNA from 1 species
GACGAACGCUGGCGGCGUGCUUAACACAUGCAAGUCGAGCGGUAAGGCCCUUUCGGGGGUACACGAGCGGCGAACGGGUGAGUAACACGUGGGUGACCUGCCCUUACGCUCUGGGAUAAGCCUGGGAAACUGGGUCUAAUACCGGAUAUGACUCCAUGACGCAUGUUGUGGGGUGGAAAGCCUUGUGCGGCUAGGGAUGGGCCCGCGGCCUAUCAGCUUGUUGGUGGGGUGAUGGCCACCAAGGCGACGACGGGUAGCCGGCCUGAGAGGGCGACCGGCCGACACUGGGACGUGAGACACGGCCCACGAACUCCUACGGGAGGCAGCAGUGGGGAAUCUUGCGCAAUGGGCGAAAGCCUGACGCAGCGACGCCGCGUGAGGGAUGACGGCCUC